UCCCCAAAGCUCUAGUACCCUUCUCCUCUCUAUCUAUUUGUGGCAAUUGGUCAGCAGUUAUUGAUGGAGGUAGGAGGAGACGAAUGAGGAAGGAAAGCCUCCCUCUACAAUGAUUUCUCCCCUCAGCAAUGGAUGAAUGAUUAGUGGGAACCUGCUAAUUCCCAAGGCUUUUAGUCUCAAUGUUCAGGGCUCUUAUAUCAAUAUCUGAAGGAAGAUGAGGGUCAAGGUGAUGAUGGUAGUUUGACUUGUCUAGUUCAUAAUGUCUUCUACAUCACCCUAAAGGGUCUUAGGUGCCCUUGCUGGACCAACUUCCAGCACUGGGUGUGGCAGUUGGCUGACGGUUGGUUGGGACGGCUGGAACCUUCUCUAUGGAAGUUAUUCCCUGGCUGAUGACUGUAAAAGUACCUUUGAUGCCAGUGCCCUCCAUUCUAUAAUUGCUAGCUUUGGUUUUGGGCUCCAACCUUGUAAAUUUUAGGUGACUCUAUCUUCUGCCCAAGUACCUUUGAGUCUGGUGUUCCCGUCUGAUAUCAAUGGCCUUGAGACAUAGGUGGCUUCUAUAAAUUCACAAAAGUGUUCCUGAGAGACAGAGAGGUAAGUCUAAUCCCAUGUGUGUUAUAUUCUGCUUCCAUAAUGGAACCAAUCAUGAUUCCCCAAUGCUAUGGGAUUAUGCCAGUUUCAUAACCAAUUAUAGGUUUUCUCUUCUGUUCUCUGUUCUAUACUCAUAAACAUCUUGCACCCUUAAUAUGGGGUCUUUGGGCUAUUUGAAGGGUCAAAAGGACUGCUUUAUUGGUGGGUAGUAUCUCUACUAAUAAAUUUUAACUUUGCCUGGAGAAGGUUGUCUUGAUUUAUCUUUUUUUUUAUGAAAUUUCACACUGGACAAUAUAAACAGACAGUUUUUAGAAAAAGAAAUCAAAGUUAUACAUACACACAUGAAACAAUGCUCUAAAUCACUAUUGGUUAGAGAAAUGAAAAUUAAAAAAAUAUAAUGUACCACCUCAAUUUUAUGAGAUUGGCUAAUAUGACAGAAAAGGAAAAUGACAAAUGUAGAAGGAGAUGUGGGGAAAUUUGGACACUAAUGACAUAUUGAUAGAGUUGUAAAUUGAUCCAACUAUUCUGGAGAGCAAUUUGGAAUUAUGCUCAAAGGGCUAUUAAAAUAUGCAUAGUUUUUGAUCCAGCAAUACUACCAAAUUAUCCAUAUCUCAAAGAGAUCAGUGAAAAAGGAAAACACCUAUCUAUACAAAAGUAUUUAUAGCAGCUCCUUUUGAGAUAGCAAAGAAUGAAAAAUGAAGGGGGUACCAUUAACUGGAAAAUGACUGAAUAAGUUACAGUAAAUGAUUGUGAUAUAAUACUAUUGUGCUAUAAGAAAUGAUAAUAAGGGUGUUUUCAGAAAAACAUGAAAAAUCUCAUAGGAACAGAUAGAAAGUAAAAUGAGUAGAACCAGGAGAACAAUGUAUACAGUAAUAGCAAUAUUGUAUUAUGAUCAGCUGUGAAGACUUAGCUAUUCUGAUCUAUAUAAUAAUACAAAUCAAUUGAUGGAGAACUUUAUAAAUGUUAUUCAAAUUCAGAGAAAGAAUUGAUAGCAUGUUAAUGUAGAACAAAGAAUACUUAAUUUUUAAAAAUUAAUAAUUUUUGGUCUCUUUUCUUUUGUUGCAUGGCUAAUAUGGAAAUAAAUUUCGGAGGACAGCCCAUGUAUAAUCUCUGUAUUAAAUUGGUUUCUUUAUAACUCAAGAUUAAAAAUGUCAAAAAUCAUUUUUACGUAUAAUUCAGAAAAUAUUAGAUAUUUAAGAAUAGCAUUCUAUAAAGUUAAGA